rnacentral:misc_RNA from 1 species
UCCAGCUUAUCGCUGGCGGUCUCCUGCGAGUUCCCAACUGAAUGAUGGCAACACAGGACAAGGGUUGCGCUCGUUGCGGGACUUAACCCAACAUCUCACGACACGAGCUGACGACAGCCAUGCAGCACCUCGACUCCCGUCCCUUGCGGGAAAUCCCUGUUUCCAAGGACGUUCGUGAGCCGUUCGAGCCCAGGUAAGGUUCUUCGCGUUGCGUCGAAUUGAACCACAUGCUCCACCGCUUGUGCGGGCCCCCGUCAAUUCCUUUGAGUUUCAGCCUUGCGGCCGUACUCCCCAGGCGGGGCGCUUAAUGCGUUAGCUGCGGCACGGAACCCAUGGAAUAGGCCCCACACCAAAUAUGCAUCGUUUACGGUGUGGACUAC